AUACGUAGGGGGCGAGCGUUGUCCGGAAUGAUUGGGCGUAAAGGGCGCGUAGGCGGCGCGGUAAGUCUGGAGUGAAAGUCCUGCUUUCAAGGUGGGAAUUGCUUUGGAUACUGCCGCGCUUGAGUGCAGGAGAGGUUAUCGGAAUUCCCGGUGUAGCGGUGAAAUGCGUAGAGAUCGGGAGGAACACCAGUGGCGAAGGCGGGUAACUGGACUGCAACUGACGCUGAGGCGCGAAAGUGUGGGGAGCAAACAGGAUUAGAUACCCUGGUAGUCCAUGCUGUAAACGAUGAUUACUAGGUGUGGGAGGUAUCGACCCCUUCCGUGCCGCAGUUAACACAAUAAGUAAUCCACCUGGGGAGUACGGCCGCAAGGUUGAAACUCAAAUGAAUUGGCGGGG
rnacentral:rRNA from 1 species